rnacentral:pre_miRNA from 1 species
GCAGGGGUCACCUUGGGGUCUGGUUACAAUGCAGGUUCUGAUUGGGUGGGUUCAGGGUGGAGCUCAAGGUUCUGCGUGUCUACCAAGUUCCCAAGUGGUGUGACU